UCCGAGUCCUCGUAUGAGGAUGUCCAAAAUUUAGAGGCACUCUUGAGCCAAUAAACCUUCACGCUGCUACCUAUAGUUCUACAAUAUAAACAUGAGUUUAAGGAACCCGAUGGAUUCUUUGUUACUUUUAUUGUAUUGCUGACAACCAAAAUUUUGAACCAGUCAGAGAAUAUCCAGUUAUUCUAAUGGAGUCAUUAUCCAAGUCAUUAUGAAUGGCCCAACGACGAGUUGACGAUAGCUUCCGCUGUUUUGAAUUACUGCAAGACAUAAUUAAAUAGCAUAUGUGGAAAAUUGCAAACCGGCAAAUCAAUCUACAGAUCUCAGUAUGCCAACCAGGGACAACACCACCGUCGGGAACACUAAGCGCACAAACAGUCCACCAGUUCUUAUCAGACGUGCAACUGCAAAGAAGUGGUACCGGUGUGCCGCUGAUGCUGCGACGUCUAAACAACUCGGCUGGGUGGGUGGAACAGGGCCCUUCAUACGUUCGACAUGUCGGCCCCUACAGCCUUCGGGCGCGACCCAGGAGCAACAGAUAAAAGAAAGUGCUGAGAUUCAUCAUCAGGUGCGACACGCCCUCAAGCACUUGGAACCAAAUCUGAAUAAAAGAUGUGCAGCCAAAGUUGCAAACUCAAUUGGGAGAUGGAGAAAUUGCUCCAUACUGUUGACACAGACCUAGGUGUAAGGUAAGGAAUUGGGUACCACCUCACCACAAGCCAGAUCACACUGCCGACAUACAGAGGCUUCGUGUUCAAUAUCAACAGGCCAAUGUGUUGGAUUUUACACCAGGCAUGGAGUACAGAUCUUUUUCUGGUAUGUAUAGAAACCCAAUGUCCAAACUGAAUACAGAUAAGAUGCUAGACUGGAUGCGAGAUAAACUGAAAUAUUAUUUUAUACAAUGGCUGUAUUACGGAAUGGACAAGCGAAAAUAUACGUGCAAGCACAUAGUUGGUUGACGUUUCAUCAAGAACUCCAGGGGAAGUAGCACUGAACCCUCCAAAGACACAGGAGGUUGGCGUUUCAUCAAGAACCACAUGGGAAGUAGCACUGAACCAUCCAAAGACACAGGAGGUUGGCGUUUCAUCAGGCUGUACACGCCACUGUGAAAGAACACUGCCCAUGGAAACACUACCAGUGUCUUGGCUGUGAGCAGGUGACACUGUACAGGCAGGAGCAUGCCAGGGAAUCUAUGCCAGGAGGGACCAUUUUUUAAACCUCAAACUUAUGCCUUAUGCAUUCUGCCAUUUAGCAACCGUCACUGAUGGAGAGUUUAGCACACUAAGGACACAGGGUGACCUCCGUCCUCUCCACCUGUGACAGCUCAUUCACGACGCCAAGGAAUGUAUGUCCAAUGACACACUUUGAAGAAAAUGCUGCAGAAUGAUGGCAAGCAAUGGCGACAAAUGCGGUUAGGUUCAUUUCCGGCCCAGGCCAAAUGGUUGAGUGCCCAUAUGAUAGGAAUCACAUCGUCAAGGGUGAACGUUUCAUCAGGCACAUCCUGAAGUGCAGGAGGAACUACAAUGGACCACCAUUGGUUGCUUGCAGUCACAGUGCUGCACACCUAAUGCCCCCCAGUGAGAUUGAUACCCACGAGGCCACUUGUCCAUAUGGUAUGUACUUUUAGUAGGUGAAAUUCCACUGUAGGCAUCUGUGUACUGUACAGUACCCCCUGCCCCGCGCACAUUGACAUGGGUACAUUACUGACUAUUACUUAUCAUACUGUCACAGUUGUUGUGUAGUGUUGGAACGUAGAAGAAGCUAAUGUUAUUUAUGACGGUGAAAACAUAGGUUGGAGUCCAGUUUUGUUAGCUUUGGUCCGCUCCCUAGGGUCG